CUAAAAUAAUUUAAGGUGCAUUGGUCCACUAUAGAAACACACAUGUACAGCACUUUAUAUAUUGCCCUUAGUAACUGACUUCAAUCAAAGCACAUUGGCAACUUUAUCCGCCUUUUCUAAUUAUCUCAACCACUGCAGUAAUAUAUUCAUCCAACUUCUAACAACAAUAUGAACAGCAGUCUUCAUAAAGCAAUAUAACAGUAACGAUAACAAAUUUAUAUUU